AGCAUACCCGGAAGCUACAGAGAUGGAGAGAGAGAGGAACAGAACAAACAAACGCGCUAAUCCAUAACAUCAUAAUCUAUUGGAGGACCACUACUUCCUGUACCAGCUCCUCGAUAUCAUUGGUCAACUAGACCUGCUCCGCCACCUGGAGACGGCAGCCGGAGUGAAUGGAACACACUCAGACUGAUGCAAGCCCCGCCCUCUCACAGUACAGGUGAGCACAGAGCUGUGUGUGUAUGUGUGUAACUGCAUUGUCACAACAAUGGACCACAUAGAGAGGCAACACUGAAUAGAUGGUCAUUCUGGUAAUUCCCUGGUUGCUUUACAUCUUUCUUUCUUUUUUCUUUCACUCUCUCUCUCAAUUCAAUUCAAUUGCAAGAGAGAGAUGAUGCUGUAUAUGAUCUCAGAAGAUGUAACUCAAGAGAAUGUCACUAAGAUUAAGUUUCUGCUGAGCGACAAACUGCUCAGAGGACGACCGGAUCUUUUCACUGUAAGAAGUAUAUCACACACACUCCCACAAUCAUGCGCACACACACACACAAAUACAUUAUCUCUCUCUCUUUUUCUCUCUCCCCUGUCGGCCCUGGAGGUGCUGUGUGAGAUGGAGAGGCAGGGGCUUCUGACAGGACAGACUGGACGAGUUACAGAGGACACUGGAGGAGUGUGACACACAGCUGGCCCACACUGUCCGGCAGCAGAGGUAAUGUACAUAUUGACACUCCUCCACUGUCCUCUGUAGCUCGUCCAGUCUGUUCUGUCAGAAGCUGAUGUGUGUGAAUCUUGAGGUCAGCAGAUGACAGGAGACUCCAAACGAGCCCAAGCACAUCCUCACCAAGAAACUCUUCCUUCCCUACCUCUGAAACAUCUUCCAUACCCGGACUGAGAAACUUCAGAUAGGCUGUUAUGAUUUAACAGUGAAUUCUCGCCUGCUUAUUUAAUGAAGUUUGCCGUCCAUCUUGCUCACUUCAGCAUUGACCAGGGUGAUGAUCGCAUGGAUGUCUUUCCCUCUGUAGAAAACAGGAGACAAACACACACAACAUAAAAUAAGUCAACACAACCAUUCCAUAGAGACGAUAUGAAUAAGAUCUGCAGUGAAUUUCAAGCUGAUGUUACCCGGUGCAGCCUUUUCCCAGCUGGCCACACAGAGACUGGAUGAACCAGGACCCCGUGUACACGUUCCUGAUAGAGACAUACUGCUCUACGUUGGCCAUGAAAACCAGGUAGUCGGAGUAUAGUGGAAGUGUGUAGUCUUGGACUUGGCCGUUGUCUGUGUCCAGUUCCCUGUCCGUCCCUUCAACUUUAGGCUUCUUGUUCACCGGCACACCCCCCUGCACGUCUUUCCCUCGACAGGCUUGGAUGAAGAACAGUUUGGGCUUUUCAACAAGGAUGCUACAGUUUGUGCCGUUGAAAGGUGAGAGGAUAUCAAUGGUGGGGACGACUGUUCCAUCUGUGCCACAGACGCCCUCCUUUUCUCCGUGACUCAGAAUGCAGCAGACGAAGGCAUCGCCAUGCUUAGGAAGAUCCUUUAGAUCAGUGAACUGACCGCUGACCCACUCCUUCACACCGCACUGUUGCAGGUCAGAUAACUGCUUCAGCUCAGAGAAGACCUUCAGCACAAUGGGAAUCUCCACUGCAGUCUUGUCCUUGCACAUCACCACCCUGAACUUCAUCCGACUGAAUAUGUUGGCCAGAUCCUCUGUAGGAGAAGACAGACACUUAACAACCAGGCCUCUCACUUCUCUCUAUUCUCAUUCUAUCACAUCACAUCAUGAUAAUCAACUGAAUCAGCAAAAUGGCAAGCAGGUCAGAUGCUGUAAUAGAGAAAUGAGACUUGAGAUGUUUUUGAGGAUAAAACAUUGACAUACCAACAUCCUUGUUUGAUCCUGUUCUUUCACGCAGUUUAUCAAAUAUCUCGUUGUUGAUGAUCAAACAGAGACCACGGGGUACACUGGUCAUCUCAUACAGACUGACCUGGAAACAGAGGAAACCAGGGGUCAUUUACACACAAAGAUAUUUCACAUCAAACUGACAGUGUAAAAAAAAAUAUAUUUUCUCCUAGUAUUAUGUUUGGCUUGAAUGGCUUCAUUGGAAAGGAAAGUUGAAGGAGAGUUGUGCUGCAAUGAGAAGACAGGUUAAGUUUUGUGUCUGUAUUAUUGUAUAUUGUUGACUUGUGUA